UCCACUUUCUCCACAUCACUCAUGAUUUUAUAGGCCUCUAUCAUAUCCCUCCUUAGUCGCCUCUUUGAUGUUUUUUAGGUGCCCCAUUUUAGACACCCAGGGUUGGAUAUUCAGAGGCACUUGGCACUCAGAGACCAACUCAGGUCAAUAAGCAUUGUAGGUGCUCACCACCACUGGCAUCCUGCCCUAGCAGAACCACAAUCCAGGCACUCAGCAUUAGAGGCUGCUUUUGACAAUUUGAGCUCAAGUGAUUUCAGAUUCAUAGAUUCUAAGGCCGGAAGGGACCAUCAGAUUAUCUAGUCUGACUUCCUGGAUAGCACAGGCCACUACAUUUCACCCAGUUACCCCUGUACUGAGCAUAACUUCUGCUUGGCUAAAGCAAAUCUUCUGGAUAGGCAGACAGUCUUGAUUUGAAGAGAAUCCACCACGUUCCUUGGUAGUUUGUUCCACUGGCUAAUCCCCUUCACUGGUACAAAUCUGCGUUUUAUGUUUAAUUUGAAUUGGUCUGGCUUCAGCUUCCAGCCGUUAGUUCUUGUUUUGCCUUUGUCCACUAGAUUAAAGAGUCAUUUAGUACCUGCUGUUUUCUCCCAAGAAGUUAGUCGGAUACUGUAAGCCACCAAGGCUGCAUAGGAAGCCUGCAGCAGAGCCAGGAACCCAGGCCUGUGCCUUUAACUACAAGGCCAUCCUUCCUCAGUGUUAGGUGAAGCUGCGUAUGGAAAUCCUUAGCUGCUCAGUCAUCAGACUGCUUCCUCCCUCUGGAAGGGAGCCCGAAUCUGCGGAGCCCUAAUCUGCACUGGGCAUUAUACCCAUUUGGGCUCUGUAACUGCAGUUCAAACUAAAAUCCAUUCUGCUCCAUUUAUGCAUGGAAAUUGUAUGGACUUGAUUGUAUGGCAUGAUUUCUAGUGCUAGAUGAAGCUUGGAGGCUAAGCAGGAAAGAGGCCAGUCCUCUGCCUUCAUCACUAAGACUAGGGAGGCUGUGAAAGUGGUUUUGAUGGCUUGGCAAAGAAGGGCUAGAGAUUGCAGGUAUUCCGUAUGCAGUGCGGAUGAGGCUAGUGUCUCUCUCUAAGGGUACGUCUAUACUACCCGCUGGCUCGGUGGGUAGUGUUCAACGUAUCGGGGAUCAAUUUAUCGCGUCAUGUCUAGAUGCGAUAAAUCGAUCCCCGAAUCGAUGCCUGUACUCCACCUUGGCAGGAGGAGUAAGCGGAGUUGAUGGGGGAGCCACGGUGAUCAACUUGCUGCCGUGAGAAUGGCCAGGGGGAAAAGUUAACUGAAGCAAAGAGCCAGCUGGGGGCCACACCUCCUAUAGGAAUUAUACACGUUCUGUGACAGAAGGAGACAAAGCUACAUGCCAGCGUGCUGCUUUUCUGGCAGAGAGUGAGUAGCAAGUAUCUGUCCUGCCAUCUGCUUUGCAUCCAGCCCACCUGUGGCUCCAGACCUGUCCCGCUCUGCACUCAGAGAGGAAGCCCAGGAGGCUUCUGAAUGCCUUCUCCCCAUAAGAUGGGCCUGAAGGACUCAGCAGUAGAGAACUGCUUGCACAUAGUUUACCCAUCCCUCCUGCCGGGCCUCCAUCUCAGCAGCCAUGUUUUCCAUGGCUCCUUCCUGAGGUGGAUCUGCCUCUGGGGAUGUGGCUGGGAAUGACGGAGCAAAUGCUAGAGACAAGAGGGGAGCAGAUGGCACCAAAUAUCGUUCUGCAACUGCUGGUGGCUCUGUCUGAGUGGCAGGGCAGGAGCAAGAACCCUCCUCUCUAGUGGCAGCAACUACAACAUCCCCUGUGGGCUUUGGUAGUGUCAAGCCUCCCACUGGAGUUGGACCAGGCUGUUCCGUGGGGCAGAAUGAACUAGCCCUUCGAAGCUUAGGGGGCCCAUUUCCAGAAGUGCUGAGUGCUCCUACAGCUCCUAUUGACUAGUGGGAACACUGAAUGCUCAGCACCUCUGAAAACUAGACUUGCCCCUAUCCACCUCCAACCCCAAGAGAGGGAAAAUCCACACACUGCACAGCAGCCACCAGAAAGCAAUACAACAUUAGCGGCCAUCUCCAUUUCUUUGUGUUUAUCUCUUGCAAAUGCAGUCAGUCAACAAAGCUACACAUUUUCCACACACCAGCAUAAUUUUAGAAAAAGGGGAAAAAAAUCAUAAAUCAAAUAAAAAGCGAUGAUCUUAAGAGAGAUCGCAACUAACGGAAGAAAACAAAUGUAUACAAGACAUCAGAGCUAUGUACAGCGACAGGUUUGAGGGGGAAAAAAUAAGCUGUCCCCCAUCAGAGAGUUGAAUUUUUAUUAUUUUUAUUAUUAUUUUAAAUAGUUUAAGCUACCUCAGCUGUUAAGCACAAUCAAAGCAGAAAAAAACAACUGCUUAAUUUUAUUUAAUAUUUAAUCAGAAAAUGUUUAUCUACAGUAAUUGACAGAACCCUCCCCCUCCUCCUCAUCUUUCUCCCUAAAAAUUAUUGCCGCUUUUCCCCCCCAAACUGUUCUUUUUUUUGUCUUUUUAUUAUUAUUUUCCCCGAUGUGAUAUACACAUUGUGGCCUCUCUCGCUAGGAGGCUUUAAACACCAGCAUAAAACAUGGAAAAAAUGAUGGGUCAAAAUACUCUCUGUUUUUCUUUAAAACUGACAAACUCACGAUUGCUAGAAAAAGCUGAUUGUACGCACAAGCGGGCUGGGGCAGAGGGGAGAAAAGGUGUUUGGGUUUUUUAAGCAUGAAUAAAAACAGCCUUUCUGAUAGAAGUCCGGUGUCUUUCCCCACCUUCCCACUGGGCUGAGACACAAAUCAGUGACAGAUCCAGCUGAAACUGAGAUGAUCUUCCUCCUUCCGAAGCAGUCUCUUUCAACUCGCUUCUUCCUCCAUCCCCUUCCCCACUUCCCCGAGAAACCUUCGUCUGGAGUAAGAUGCCAGCAACUGAUUACAAAAAUAAGAAUCAUCUGUAAUUUUGGCUCAAGAAACCGACUGUCCUGCCUUGUCUAUUUGCCAACAUCCAACGCCUUUUACAAAAAAGAAACAAAAAAACCCCCCAAAAGACAAAACAAAACAAAAAAAAAACCCCCGAAA